UACGAAGGGGGCUAGCGUUGUUCGGAAUUACUGGGCGUAAAGCGCACGUAGGCGGAUUAGUAAGUCAGGGGUGAAAUCCCGGGGCUCAACCUCGGAACUGCCUUUGAUACUGCUGAUCUCGAGUCCGGAAGAGGUGAGUGGAAUUCCUAGUGUAGAGGUGAUAUUCGUAGAUAUUAGGAAGAACACCAGUGGCGAAGGCGGCUCACUGGUCCGAUACUGACGCUGAGGUGCCAAAGCGUGGGGAGCAAACAGG
rnacentral:rRNA from 1 species